UUUCAUGAGAAAUCUUUUCUCAUGUAAUAAAUGGGACGUAAAAAAAAGGGAUAAGGUGCAAAGAUUGAUUGCCCAUUCAAAUUCAAACUUUAUUUUGAAUUUGAAUGGCCAACCAAUCAUCCUUAUCCAUUCAUAUGGCACAUUAAAGUGGGGCGUGGGGAGGGCUUGGCGUGAGGAAAAAAUUCAUGAGAAGUUUCUUCUCAUGAAUUCAAAUGGGUGCAAUGGAAGUGAGGUGGCGUAUGGAGAUUGGGUCAAGGUGGUUUAAUUAUUUAAACCAACAUAAUUGAACCAAAUAAGUUAGGUCCAAUUAGACUAAUUUAAACCUAACUAAAUUAGGCUUAGUUAGGCUCAAUAAAAUUUUAAUCAAAUCAGGAAUUGAUUAAGCCCAACCCC
rnacentral:lncRNA from 1 species